UGUGCAGGUUUUACAAGUGAUUAAAAAAAAAGGUAAGAAAACUUAAAUAUAUCCUCAAUUUCAGAGGAGCUGAGCACACUGCAACAAUUGUAAACUUCAGUGGGAAUACAAAGAGCCACUUCUGGAAUCAAGGCUUCAUAGAGAUUCUGUACUGCAUUAGUGGAUAACUCUAAACGUCAUAUGAAGUGUCAGCAAGUUCUCUUCACAGUUUAGUCAGACAAAACAAUCCUUUUCCAGCCUGACAACCAAGGACAGCGUUGGAGCUUCAGGGCCAAAAAGUGCAAACCACAGUGAAUUGAGGAGAGCCAUCUGGGAGGAUGGGACUGCAUAACCUGGAGCUCUAAUUGGAUAAUUAACCCCAGUAACUUAGGAAAGUGUGAAAAAUCAUGACCUGGCAUCCAUCUUGGGUGGUGGCACAGCCAGGCUCUUGUAUUGCCCAAGGUGUGUCCCUUCAAGGCCUUUUUAAAAAACACCUACUUUAUUCCUUUAGCUCUGUCUAGCCUCUGCUCUAGGUAUCCUCUCAAGGCAUCACUGGUAACUGGGUUUGUUAAUCUUUGUUAAAUGUGUUGGCUGAGCAUUUACAUGUUUUUCUAUGUCUGGAAGACAAAAAUUGCACUUCAAUUCUUCAAUGAGAUUUUUUUGUUCAACUCAAUUUUGGUUUAUUUAGUGAUUUUUUAAAAAUAUUUUUUAAAACUUUCAUUGGUAACAAAGUCUGUACAUUCAAAAACCAAGUCAAGUAUAUUAAUCUUUUGAAUACUGAAAACACGUAAAGAUCCAUUCAAAUGUGGUUUUAAGAUCUUGUUUUCUUAAGCACGAUAGCACUUUCUUUGGGAUUUUCUUUCAAGUUUUUUUUUUUU